rnacentral:rRNA from 1 species
AUUUGGAGAGGAUGCUUUUGGCGCGGCGCCUUCCGAGUUCCUUGGAACAGGACGCCAUAGAGGGUGAGAGCCCCGUACGGUCGGACGCCUAGCCUAUACAAAGCUCCUUCGACGAGUCGAGUAGUUUGGGAAUGCUGCUCAAAAUGGGAGGUAAAUUUCUUCUAAAGCUAAAUACCGGCCAGAGACCGAUAGCGCACAAGUAGAGUGAUCGAAAGAUGAAAAGCACUUUGAAAAGAGAGUUAAACAGUACGUGAAAUUGUUGAAAGGGAAGCGCCUGUGACCAGACUUGCGCCCUACGGACCACCCAGCGUUCUCGCUGGUGCACUCUGCAGGGCGCAGGCCAGCAUCGGUUCUCCCAGGGGGAUAAAGGCCGCAGGAACGUAGCUCUUUCGGGAGUGUUAUAGCCUGUGGUGCCAUGCCUCUGAGGGGACCGAGGACCGCGCUUCGGCAAGGAUGCUGGCGUAAUGGUCACUAGCGACCCGUCUUGAAACACGGACCAAGGAGUCAAGCAUUGGGGCGAGUGUCUGGGUGCCAAACCCGCACGCGAAAUGAAAGUAAACGUAGGUGAGAGCUUCGGCGCAUCAUCGACCGAUCCUGAUGUAUUCGGAUGGAUUUGAGUAAGAGCCUUACCGCUUGGACCCGAAAGAUGGUGAACUAUGCCUGUAUAGGGUGAAGCCAGAGGAAACUCUGGUGGAGG